rnacentral:rRNA from 1 species
GACGAACGCUGGCGGCGUGCUUAACACAUGCAAGUCGAACGGAAAGGCCCUGCUUUUGUGGGGUGCUCGAGUGGCGAACGGGUGAGUAACACGUGAGUAACCUGCCCUUGACUGUGGGAUAACUUCAGGAAACUGGGGCUAAUACCGGAUAGGAGCUCCUGCUGCAUGGUGGGGGUUGGAAAGUUUCGGCGGUUGGGGAGGGACUCGCGGCUUAUCAGCUUGUUGGUGGGGUAGUGGCUUACCAAGGCUUUGACGGGUAGCCGGCCUGAGAGGUUGACCGGCCACAUUGGUACUGAGAUACGGCCCAGACUCCUACGUGCGGCAGCAGUGGGGAAUAUUGCACAAUGGGCGGAAGCCUGAUGCAGCAACGCCGCGUUCGGGAUGACGGCCUUCGGGUUGUAUACCGCUUUCGCCUGUGACGCAGCGUGCGUGACGGUAAUGGGUAGAGAAGCACCGGCUAACUACGUG